rnacentral:rRNA from 1 species
UACAGAGGUCCCAAGCGUUGUUCGGAUUCACUGGGCGUAAAGGGUGCGUAGGUGGUCGGGUAAGUCUGAUGUGAAAUCUCCGAGCUUAACUCGGAAAUGGCAUUGGAUACUAUUCGGCUGGAGGGUUGGAGGGGGGACUGGAAUUCUCGGUGUAGCAGUGAAAUGCGUAGAUAUCGAGAGGAACACCAGUGGCGAAGGCGAGUCCCUGGACAACUCCUGACACUGAGGCACGAAAGCUAGGGGAGCAAACAGG